UAGCUAGUCGGUGGGGUAAGGGCCUACCAAGGCGACGAUCGGUAGCUGGUCUGAGAGGAUGAUCAGCCACACUGGAACUGAGACACGGUCCAGACUCCUACGGGAGGCAGCAGUGGGGAAUAUUGGACAAUGGGGGGAACCCUGAUCCAGCAAUGCCGCGUGUGUGAAGAAGGUCUGAGGGUUGUAAAGCACUUUCAGUGGGGAGGAGGUUUAGUUGGUUAAGAGCUGAUUGAAUGGACGUUACCCACAGAAGAAGCACCGGCUAACUCCGUGCCAGCAGCCGCGGUAAUACGGAGGGUGCGAGCGUUAAUCGGAAUUACUGGGCGUAAAGAGUGCGUAGGUGGUUGAUUAAGUUAUCUGUGAAAUUCCUGGGCUUAACCUGGGCUUGUCAGAUAAGACUGAUUGACUCGAGUAUGGGAGAGGGUAGUGGAAUUUCCGGUGUAGCGGUGAAAUGCGUAGAGAUCGGAAGGAACACCAGUGGCGAAGGCGGCUACCUGGCCUGAUACUGACACUGAGGCACGAAAGCGUGGGGAGCAAACAGGAUUAGAUACCCUAGUAGUCCGCGCUGUAAACGAUGUCAACUAGCUGUUGGCCUUAUGAAUAAGGUUAGUGGCGC
rnacentral:rRNA from 1 species